AUGGACAUCAAGGCGGACAUCAAGGUGGACAUCAAGGCGGAGCCCAAGGCGGCAGAGACGAAGAAGGCGGCGGGGUGGGAGUGGAAGGCGCCGGCGUCCAUGGUGCUGGUGCAGCUCUUCAUCACGGGGAUGAUCCUGCUCUCCAAGGUGUCCAUCGGCGGCGGCAUGUUCAUCUUCGCCCUCCUCGCCUACCGCAGCCUCUUCGGCGCCGCCUUCAUCCUCCCAUUGGCGCUUAUCUUCGAAAAGGGGAAGUGGAGGGAGAUGGGUUGGCACGCCGCGGGAUGGAUCUUCCUCAACGCCUUCAUCGGGUAUGCGGUGCCAAUGAGCCUAUACUACUAUGGUCUCCGUGAUACAACGCCAGCUUAUGCCGUCAUCUUUUUGAACAUAAUUCCGUUGGUCACGUUCAUUCUCUCGCUCGUCUUCAGAAUGGAGACAUUGCAAAUCUGGAGCAUAGCUGGAUCACUAAAGGUCGUAGGCGUUGUGCUCUCGGUUGGAGGUACAAUGCUCAUUAGCCUUUACAAGGGCAAGACAAUGCAUCUGUGGAAACCUGUUCUGCACCACAUGGGGCAAAACACGACAGAGGUUGCAGGCAAUCAUCUAAGAGGAACAAUAUUCUUGGUAGGCAGCAGCAUCACACUUGCUUGCUGGUACCUGAUUCAGUCAAAGGUUAUGAAGGUGUAUCCUUACAAAUAUUGGUCGUCCAUGGUGACAUGUUUGGUUGGAGGAUUUCAAACAGCACUAGUUGGAAUAAUAUUGAGUAGGGACAAGAGCGCAUGGAAGCUAGGAUGGGAUCUCAACCUUCUGACCAUCUUCUACUCUGGGGCACUUGCAACGGCGGGGAAGUAUAGCCUGAACUCAUGGGUUGUGGCCAAGCGAGGCCCAGCAUAUCCUCCAAUGUUCAGCCCAUUGUCAGUGGUAUUCACUGUUUUGUUGGACUCCAUCUUUAUAGGCGACGAGAUUACAACAGGAAGUUUGUUCGGCACAACAGUGGUGAUUGCUGGGCUCUACAUUUUCCUAUCGGCAAAAUCGAAAGAAGUGCGGGACAAAUAG
rnacentral:rRNA from 1 species